GGAAAGGCGCGCGAUACAGGGUGACAGCCCCGUACACAAAAAUGCACAUGCUGUGAGCUCGAUGAGUAGGGCGGGACACGUGGUAUCCUGUCUGAAUAUGGGGGGACCAUCCUCCAAGGCUAAAUACUCCUGACUGACCGAUAGUGAACCAGUACCGUGAGGGAAAGGCGAAAAGAACCCCGGCGAGGGGAGUGAAAAAGAACCUGAAACCGUGUACGUACAAGCAGUGGGAGCACGCUUAGGCGUGUGACUGCGUACCUUUUGUAUAAUGGGUCAGCGACUUAUAUUCUGUAGCAAGGUUAACCGAAUAGGGGAGCCGAAGGGAAACCGAGUCUUAACUGGGCGUUAAGUUGCAGGGUAUAGACCCGAAACCCGGUGAUCUAGCCAUGGGCAGGUUGAAGGUUGGGUAACACUAACUGGAGGACCGAACCGACUAAUGUUGAAAAAUUAGCGGAUGACUUGUGGCUGGGGGUGAAAGGCCAAUCAAACCGGGAGAUAGCUGGUUCUCCCCGAAAGCUAUUUAGGUAGCGCCUCGUGAAUUCAUCUCCGGGGGUAGAGCACUGUUUCGGCAAGGGGGUCAUCCCGACUUACCAACCCGAUGCAAACUGCGAAUACCGGAGAAUGUUAUCACGGGAGACACACGGCGGGUGCUAACGUCCGUCGUGAAGAGGGAAACAACCCAGACCGCCAGCUAAGGUCCCAAAGUCAUGGUUAAGUGGGAAACGAUGUGGGAAGGCCCAGACAGCCAGGAUGUUGGCUUAGAAGCAGCCAUCAUUUAAAGAAAGCGUAAUAGCUCACUGGUCGAGUCGGCCUGCGCGGAAGAUGUAACGGGGCUAAACCAUGCACCGAAGCUGCGGCAGCGACGCUGAUGCGUUGUUGGGUAGGGGAGCGUUCUGUAAGCCUGCGAAGGUGUGCUGUGAGGCAUGCUGGAGGUAUCAGAAGUGCGAAUGCUGACAUAAGUAACGAUAAAGCGGGUGAAAAGCCCGCUCGCCGGAAGACCAAGGGUUCCUGUCCAACGUUAAUCGGGGCAGGGUGAGUCGACCCCUAAGGCGAGGCCGAAAGGCGUAGUCGAUGGGAAACAGGUUAAUAUUCCUGUACUUGGUGUUACUGCGAAGGGGGGACGGAGAAGGCUAUGUUGGCCGGGCGACGGUUGUCCCGGUUUAAGCGUGUAGGCUGGUUUUCCAGGCAAAUCCGGAAAAUCAAGGCUGAGGCGUGAUGACGAGGCACUACGGUGCUGAAGCAACAAAUGCCCUGCUUCCAGGAAAAGCCUCUAAGCAUCAGGUAACAUCAAAUCGUACCCCAAACCGACACAGGUGGUCAGGUAGAGAAUACCAAGGCGCUUGAGAGAACUCGGGUGAAGGAACUAGGCAAAAUGGUGCCGUAACUUCGGGAGAAGGCACGCUGAUAUGUAGGUGAAGUCCCUCGCGGAUGGAGCUGAAAUCAGUCGAAGAUACCAGCUGGCUGCAACUGUUUAUUAAAAACACAGCACUGUGCAAACACGAAAGUGGACGUAUACGGUGUGACGCCUGCCCGGUGCCGGAAGGUUAAUUGAUGGGGUCAGCGCAAGCGAAGCUCUUGAUCGAAGCCCCGGUAAACGGCGGCCGUAACUAUAACGGUCCUAAGGUAGCGAAAUUCCUUGUCGGGUAAGUUCCGACCUGCACGAAUGGCGUAAUGAUGGCCAGGCUGUCUCCACCCGAGACUCAGUGAAAUUGAACUCGCUGUGAAGAUGCAGUGUACCCGCGGCAAGACGGAAAGACCCCGUGAACCUUUACUAUAGCUUGACACUGAACAUUGAGCCUUGAUGUGUAGGAUAGGUGGGAGGCUUUGAAGUGUGGACGCCAGUCUGCAUGGAGCCGACCUUGAAAUACCACCCUUUAAUGUUUGAUGUUCUAACGUUGACCCGUAAUCCGGGUUGCGGACAGUGUCUGGUGGGUAGUUUGACUGGGGCGGUCUCCUCCUAAAGAGUAACGGAGGAGCACGAAGGUUGGCUAAUCCUGGUCGGACAUCAGGAGGUUAGUGCAAUGGCAUAAGCCAGCUUGACUGCGAGCGUGACGGCGCGAGCAGGUGCGAAAGCAGGUCAUAGUGAUCCGGUGGUUCUGAAUGGAAGGGCCAUCGCUCAACGGAUAAAAGGUACUCCGGGGAUAACAGGCUGAUACCGCCCAAGAGUUCAUAUCGACGGCGGUGUUUGGCACCUCGAUGUCGGCUCAUCACAUCCUGGGGCUGAAGUAGGUCCCAAGGGUAUGGCUGUUCGCCAUUUAAAGUGGUACGCGAGCUGGGUUUAGAACGUCGUGAGACAGUUCGGUCCCUAUCUGCCGUGGGCGCUGGAGAACUGAGGGGGGCUGCUCCUAGUACGAGAGGACCGGAGUGGACGCAUCACUGGUGUUCGGGUUGUCAUGCCAAUGGCACUGCCCGGUAGCUAAAUGCGGAAGAGAUAAGUGCUGAAAGCAUCUAAGCACGAAACUUGCCCCGAGAUGAGUUCUCCCUGACUCCUUGAGAGUCCUGAAGGAACGUUGAAGACGACGACGUUGAUAGGCCGGAUGUGUAAGCGCAGCGAUGCGUU
rnacentral:rRNA from 1 species